AACCGCAUGGUUUUGAUUUGAAAGGCGCUUUCGGGUGUCGCUGAUGGAUGGACCCGCGGUGCAUUAGCUAGUUGGUGAGGUAACGGCUCACCAAGGCCACGAUGCAUAGCCGACCUGAGAGGGUGAUCGGCCACAUUGGGACUGAGACACGGCCCAAACUCCUACGGGAGGCAGCAGUAGGGAAUCUUCGGCAAUGGACGAAAGUCUGACCGAGCAACGCCGCGUGAGUGAAGAAGGUUUUCGGAUCGUAAAACUCUGUUGUUAGAGAAGAACAAGGAUGAGAGUAACUGUUCAUCCCUUGACGGUAUCUAACCAGAAAGCCACGGCUAACUACGUGCCAGCAGCCGCGGUAAUACGUAGGUGGCAAGCGUUGUCCGGAUUUAUUGGGCGUAAAGCGAGCGCAGGCGGUUUCUUAAGUCUGAUGUGAAAGCCCCCGGCUCAACCGGGGAGGGUCAUUGGAAACUGGGAGACUUGAGUGCAGAAGAGGAGAGUGGAAUUCCAUGUGUAGCGGUGAAAUGCGUAGAUAUAUGGAGGAACACCAGUGGCGAAG
rnacentral:rRNA from 1 species